rnacentral:tRNA from 1 species
UUGUAAUGCGUAUUAUAAUAAUUAUUCUUUCUUUCCAAGUAAGAGAUCUCAUGUAUAUGUUUGAGCCAUUAUAGA